AUGGGGUCCUUUAUUCAAGUCUCUUGUGCAUCUCAACCCUUUGGGUCCUAUGUUUUCAGCAGAUGGUCAUCACCAAGGCCACCAGGAAACUCAUGUUACUUUGGGAGAGUUUGGAAGAGGUUUUGCUUACUUUGCUUCGAUUCACUUAAGUCUUACAGCGCUUCUGUGUAUUCAUCAUAUUCAUCAUUGCUCAAAAUAUUAAAAGACCCAGGAGGAUGCCUUCCCAUAUCAGAUGUAUCCUUUAUGAAGAACUUUUGGGAAGGUAUUCACAAAACUUGUAUAAGCGGAGGAGUGGAUGAGUUUCUGUUUAA
ensembl:lncRNA